rnacentral:tRNA from 1 species
UAAGGGUGUAAUCAAUUAUGAUAUUUCAUUUACAAUGAAAAAGAGUUUAUAACCAUUCUUAA